rnacentral:tRNA from 1 species
AGGAUAAUAGUUAAUUUCAUAACAUUUGAUCUGCAUUCAAAAAUAAUUAAAAAUUUAAUUUAUCUU